rnacentral:rRNA from 1 species
UCCUACGGGGGGCAGCAGUAGGGAAUCUUCCACAAUGGGCGCAAGCCUGAUGGAGCAACGCCGCGUGGGUGAAGUAGGUCUUCGGAUCGUAAAACCCUGUUGUUAGAGAAGAAAGUGCGUGAGAGUAACUGUUCACGUUUCGACGGUAUCUAACCAGAAAGCCACGGCUAACUACGUGCCAGCAGCCGCGGUAAUACGUAGGUGGCAAGCGUUAUCCGGAUUUAUUGGUCGUAAAGGGAACGCAGGCGGUCUUUUAAGUCUGAUGUGAAUGCCUGCGGAUGA